AAAUAGAACUUUGCAGAGAGAGUUAACAGGGCGUGAAACCGUUGAUUGGCAAACGAAUCGGAGCCACGAAGUCGUUUCGUUGUUAGUUGGGCGGAGUUCAGUUCGCGCCGAAAGACGCGGGCGUAUUCUCACGCUCAUCCAACCUUGUAAGCGUACACUGCAACUUGUUAGACGAUCAGCUGUGGGCUGAGUGACGCAGAGCGAGCAAUCGCGCUGCGGCACGCAUUGUCUGUUCGCUCGCGGUAGUAGUAGCGCAGCUGACUUCGGUCUUUUUGUGUUGCUGGCCGCGUGGCGGGUGAACUACAGCUGAAUACUGACAAGCGAAAUGAAAACCGUUGAAAAACGUUAGAGAAAAAGCGGUUGGUCACAUGGAUGUUUACACGUUCGACUGUUAGGUCUAAGCUUGGCAUUUUUGAAUUCAGACCUGCUUGCUACCAGUGGGGCAACUCCUGGUGCUUGUACGGCUUCUGUCUAAUCGGGUGUCGACUGGGCUUGGCAUCGUUCGGGCGUGAAACGAUUGAGCGUUCAUAUGAACUAAUCCGCAAUUUAAAUUGGCAGUGAGUAGGUCGGCUUUCCGAACGA
rnacentral:rRNA from 1 species